rnacentral:rRNA from 1 species
UACAGAGGGUGCAAGCGUUAAUCGGAGUUACUGGGCGUAAAGGGCGCGUAGGCGGUUAAAUAAGUGAGAUGUGAAAUCCCUGGGCUUAACCUGGGAAUGGCAUCUUAUACUGUGUAGCUAGAGUACUGUAGAGGGUAGUGGAAUUUCCGGUGUAGCGGUGAAAUGCGUAGAGAUCGGAAGGAACACCCGUGGCGAAGGCGGCUACCUGGACAGAUACUGACGCUGAGGCGCGCGAGCGUGGGGAGCAAACAGG